AUCUAAAGACAUCUUGGCUAUGCUGUUGAACCCACCACUGAUUGCUGCAUUUGCGAUUGGUGCAGCCUUCUCAGCCACCAUCUGUUGUAUCUUCCUGUGUUUGACAGGGAAAUGUAAAAGACGCAAAGAGAGGAUCCCAAAGGACUCAGACUCCAAAAGCCCUUUAACGAACCUGGAGAUGGUGGCAUGUGAAGACCAACAGACGGAUGCAGGACGGGCUGUGCGGGGCGAACAGACCCCUCUACAGGUGGUGCUGAUGGAGGGGGCUGAAAACACAGGACCCCAGACCAGUGGAGCUGCAGGAAACUCUGCCAAAGGGGAAGAACCAAAAGAUGUGCACUACGCCACUAUCAACUACUCCCAACUGAAGAAGACUUCUGAGGAGGCAGAAAAGAAGACCACCACAACAGAGUCAGAGUACGCCAAAAUCAAACGAGAAUAAGAAAGAAGGGGAUGAAGAUGGAGGAGAGGGGAAGGGAGUGGAGUGAUGGACGAGGAGGAGAACGAGCCAGCAGCAGAGAGAUGAGAAUACAGCGCUUUACUCCAAUGUCAAGGCUAUUAUGGGUGGUGAGUGACAAAGCAAUUUUCGCUAGAAACGUGGGGGAUAGCAUGCAGCAUUAUAUAGCCAUGUGUUCUUAUAUCAUUUCCUCAAUCCAGAUUGAAAGUUUUAUGUUGAUACUGGGACUUUUGUUCAACUGAAACUACUGUAGUUUUGGUGUUGUUUCCUCAUGUGCUGAAUCAAGUUU
rnacentral:lncRNA from 1 species